rnacentral:rRNA from 1 species
AAUGAACGCUGGCGGCAUGCCUAACACAUGCAAGUCGAACGAGAUCUCCGGGAAUAGUGGCGCACGGGUGCGUAACGCGCGGGAAUCUGCCCUUCGGUUCGGUAUCAUGGCUGUAAACGACUGCUAACACCUGAAGAUGACGAAUCUAAAACGAUAGAUCGACAGAGGAUGAGCUCGCGUGGGAUUAGCUAGUUGGUGUGAGAAAGGGGCACUAAGGCGACGAUCCUUAGAUUGGCUGAGAGGAUGAUCAGCCACACUGGGACUGAGACACGGCGCAGACUCCUACGUGAGGCAGCAGUGGCGAAUAGUGAACAGUGGGCGAAAGCAUGAUCCAGCAAUGACGCGUAAGCGAUGAAGGCCUUAGAGUUGUAAAACUCUUGUAACCGGGAUGGUAAUGACAGUACCGUACGAAUAAGCUCCGGCUAACUCCGUGCCAGCAGCCGCGGUAA